rnacentral:snRNA from 1 species
GUACUUACCUGGCAAACAAAUACCAUAAUCAUGCAGGUGGUAUUACAAGGAGAGACUUACUCAGUGAACUCAGAUGUGCAGCUCUUACAGUUUUCCCACAUGUGGGAAUUUUGAUUGAAUAAUUUAUGGUACUGGGGAUUAUGUUCAUGCUUUCCCC